rnacentral:rRNA from 1 species
GAACGCUCGCGGCAUGCUUAACACAUGCAAGUCGCACGAGGGGUUUCGGCCCCUAGUGGCGGACGGGUGAGUAACGCGUAGGUAUCUGUCCUGGGGUGGGGGAUAACAGUGGGAAACUGCUGCUAAUACCGCAUGACACCUGAGGGUCAAAGGCGCAAGUCGCCUUGGGAGGAGCCUGCGUCCGAUUAGCUAGUCGGUGGGGUAACUGCCUACCAAGGCGACGAUCGGUAGCUGGUCUGAGAGGAUGAUCAGCCACAUUGGGACUGAGACACUGGCCCAAACUCCUACGGGAGGCAGCAGCUGGGGAAUAUUGGACAAUGGAGCGAAAGCCUGAUCCAGCAAUGCCGCGUGGAUGAAGAAGGUCUUCGGAUUGUAAAGUCCUUUCGACGGGGACGGAUGAUGACGGUACCCGUAGAAGAAGUCACCCGG